ACAGCGCAAUGGAUAGCACGUUGAACUUCUAACCCAAAGAUCGUGGGCUCGAAUCCCACGUGAGAUG